CCUACGGGAGGCAGCAGUAAGGAAUAUUGGUCAAUGGACGAAAGUCUGAACCAGCCAUGCCGCGUGAAGGAUGAAGGCCCUCUGGGUUGUAAACUUCUUUUAUCUGGGACGAAAAAAGCUCAUUCUUGAGCACUUGACGGUACCAGAGGAAUAAGCACCGGCUAACUCCGUGCCAGCAGCCGCGGUAAUACGGAGGGUGCAAGCGUUAUCCGGAUUCACUGGGUUUAAAGGGUGCGUAGGUGGGUCUGUAAGUCAGUGGUGAAAUCUCCGAGCUUAACUCGGAAACUGCCAUUGAUACUAUAGGUCUUGAAUCAUCUGGAGGUAAGCGGAAUAUGUCAUGUAGCGGUGAAAUGCUUAGAUAUGACAUAGAACACCAAUUGCGAAGGCAGCUUACUACGGGUGUAUUGACACUGAGGCACGAAAGCGUGGGGAUCAAACAGGAUUAGAUACCCUGGUAGUCCACGCCCUAAACGAUGGAUACUCGACAUCAGCGAUACACUGUUGGUGUCUGNGNGAAGANAUAGUAUCCNCCGUCGGUAGUACGACCGCGAGUUAGUUAAAGUUAAAGUUAAGUUAGUUAGCGNGNGAGAGCGACGACGACGACGACGGAGGAGGAGG
rnacentral:rRNA from 1 species